rfam:Pseudomonas sp. G5(2012) strain G5 PG5_63, whole genome shotgun sequence.
GUCCACAGAGAAUGUCCGCCGUUGUUGUCGGCGACAUGCCCAGGUAGCCCUGGUCUUCAAGGUUACGGCGCUGCCGCGCUGACCAUCCCGUUCGCUGCGCAUCCAUGAAGGCGAACACACCACCGCCCGCCAUGCGGUGGACGGAUGC